GACGAACGCUGGCGGCGUGCUUAACACAUGCAAGUCGAACGGAAACGCCCUGCUUUUGUGCGGUUCUGGAUUGGCGAACGGGUGAGUAACACGUGAGUAUCGUGCCCUAGACUUUGGUAUAACUUCAUGAAACUGGGCCUACUACCGUACAGCAUCCCCUGCUGCAUUGUGGGGGUUGGAUAGUUUCAGCUGGUGGGGAUGGAUUCGCGGCUUAUCAGCUUGUUGGUGGGGUAGUGGCUUGCCAAGGCUUUGACGGGUAGCUGGCCUGUGUGGGUGACCGGCGACAUGGGGACUAAGAGACGGCACAGACGGCUACGUGGGGCAGUAGUGGGGAGUAUUGCCCAAUGGGAGGUAGCCUGUGGCAGAAUCGCCGGGUGUGGAAUGACGGCUUUUGGGUUAUGAACAGCUUUAGCCUAUGACCAAGCUUGUGUGACGGUAAUGGGUAAAGAAGCACCGGCUAACUACGUG
rnacentral:rRNA from 1 species